AGAUCUUUCUGUUUGCCUUGGGCUGUGAUUUCCUGUGGGCAAUGAUGGAGGAACAGCACGGUCUAGAUAAACUCUACUUAACUUGCUUAUUGGGAUGGAGGUGGAUUGGCAUUGUCCUUUUUCCAGGAGUCAAGACUGAAGAAUUACAGAAAUACUGCAGUGUUAUCAAGUGGAUCAUUUAAGCAAAUAUGGUAGGAAGGAAAGUAUCAAGGUUACCGACUGGAUUCCUGGAGCAGAUGAGUAGACCUUCAUGGCCAGACAACAGAGCAAGCUGACGAAGUCCAUGUAGCCAACUCUGCAGUCAAAACCAAAGUGCUGGGACUCAGAAGGUCUCGCUUGUUAAUUUGACUGUGUGUAAACAAAGAAAUGCUGUUGGCCCUAUUAAUCUCAGCGCAGGCCUGAGGGAUAAUGGCAGAUGACUCAUGGACCAGACACCAGUGACAACGCAUUACUCCGUGUCUGUUGGCCAAGUGCUACUGACUGAAAUCACUGGCUCUACCUCAAUUCACUGCAGCAAAGUGUCUGGUCUUGCUUGGAUUUGCUUGAGAAAUGACCUUUAUUUUUCUUAUCCACAUUCUCACCUUAUGCAGUCUCCAUGUGUGUGCCAAAGUCACCUCCCCUGCAAGGGUGGACAGAUUUAGAGAUGCUCAAAAUGGCACAGUGAGGGUGUGUGGUUUGCUCUCCUGCUUUUGCUUAACUGGCCAGCAAGUGAACUCGGAGUAAGCAGGUCAGCUCAGGAACAAAGAAGAAGGACCUGAAGAGAUCAAAAUAACAGUAAAUGUCACAAAAAUUAUUUUUCUUAACAUGUAAAAACAGCAAAUGCCCCAUUUUGUAACCUGGAAGAAGUGGACUUCAGGCUGUGUUCCUCCAGACACAAACAGGCAUCCUUUGGAGGUUCACAGACAUCUCUUAUCUCCAUAAAACUCCUAGAGAGCAUCCAGAGGAGGGCUAAGAAGAUGGUGAAGGUUCUGGAGGAUUCUUUCCAACUCAAGGUAUUCUGUGAUCCUAAAAGAGGGGCAGCAGCCAGCAAGGAUGGAAUCAUCACAAAGGGGAGAAAUUGCACUUAAUGGGAGGCAGCCAGGGUGCUUGGUGCACUUAUCACACUUGCCUGCAUCAUACUGCUUUCUCCUCUGCCUCUGCUUUUCCACAUGAGGACUCUGCUACGUGAAGGCCAAGGUAAGAGGAGGUGACUGCUUUUGAACAAAGAAUGUGUGGUGCUGAGUUUUCCCAAGGAGAUGGGCAAAGCCUAUGGCAUGGAGCAGGAGGAGCUGAGGGCAGUGGAGCUUCUACCCUGUAGAACAGGGAACUCCUGAAGUUGCCAGUCCUACAACAAGUGUUUAGAGGAAGCUGAUUGGGCUGGGGGCUUUCACAAAACACAUGUCCAAACUAGAAGUGUCUGAGAGUGCACCAGCAGUUCGUUGUGAAGCUGACAAAAGCCACAGGCAUGCAGUACUAGGCAGGACAAAGCAGUGCCUGAGGUCUCUGUGUCCAUCACAAGUAGCACUCAUGACACCAUGUUUGACUCGGGAUGCUGUGUUUGCCAAAGCCUUCAGGAGCUUACUGCAUGCUCUACCUGGGGCAGAGAGAGAGGGCAGGCCUUUAUAAAGUGAGCUCAGAGGUGCUUUCAAGUGGGAUGUCCUGCCUCUGGGUGUAUUUUAAGCCAUGUUUGUAAGCAGAAAAACUGUUGCAGCUUUUAGUGGUUUCUGUUAUUUGGUUUCGGCAUUGGUAGUGAGACUUGAGAGCCAAUCCUGAGCUCCCAGAAUCUCUGCUGUGUUGCUCCACAGACUUUACAGAAUGAUGAGCACCAAAACCAGGCUUUGUCACCACAGCAGGAAGGCUUGCAUCUCCUGUACUCACAGCUGCCCCCUGGGCAUGAGAGCAUCUUGGGCAUGGCCUGUCCUCACUGUGUCUCUUGAGCCAUCUUGUUGUUGAGGUGGUUGCAUGAACCAGCUAAACAUCUAAACAUUUCUUAAACGUUUCUUUGUGAUUUUGAUACUUGUGCUCAUCUCCCAUAGAUUCAUGGCUGAAGACAUCACGAAAGAAAACAAACCUCCUCCAAACAGUUGUGCAUGUAUAAAUCACCUACAUAUGUUUCUUGUUCCUUGCUAUGCAUGGGUUUCUUUUUAAUAUAAUUCUUGGCACGACAGAAACCAUGUUGGUGACAUUAUUAGUAUUGUUGGCCUGGAAUGUUUUUAAUAACAUUGAGUUUGUUGGUACAGAGCGUGAAUUAGUUGUCAGUUCUUGAGAAGUCAGAAUGUAAUUGCUGAUCAAACAUUUAAAAUAUGAUUUGUAUUAGCGAUGGUUUUCCCUAUAAAUUCUUUCUUAUGGCCAUUAGGCAGGAAGCCAAAAGCUGACAGUGUGGCAGCUCUGCUCAGCAGUCACAGUUUGGAGCGCAGCUCCAGGCUUCUAUUCCUGACUGAAUUUCUCAUGUUUUUCAGAGGUUUUUUUUUUUUUUCUUUUUUUUCUUUUUUUUCUCUUUUGGCAAGAAAAGCUUGAAAAUAAGCUUAGGCCAACCUGAAAUACAUCUUUCUCCCAUUCUGCCUUUCCAGGGCUGCUGUCAGGCUGACAGAUCAGUUACUGCACAGCUCUCUCUAUUACUCUCUAUAGAAAUAAAUCUGCGUUUCCUCCCAGACUGUUCUCCAUCACCCUGCCUUCUUUCAUAGCCAUCACAAAAUGGGUGUGGAAACAAAGUACUUUUUGCAGACACCUCUACAAAAUGUGGACUUCACCUGUGAAACCAUAGAAUUAGUGAGAGUAAGCCAAAGCAGAAGGUUUGUUUUUUUUUUUAAACUGAGUUCAGCUCCAAGUAUAAUGUUUUAACAGAUUAAUCUACCCUUCCUUCCUGUUGGUGUUGAGAUUAUCAUUCCAUGAGUAUUGUUCCUCCCUUCCUCCGACCUGCACAUGCUUCUUUUGACAACAUAGUGUGCAGACAAAUUAUUCACGCUCCACUGCAGUGCUGUUCAUCUAAUAGAUAGAAAAUUCUUGUCAGAGAAAGGGGAGGAGAAAGAGACUUCUAUGGGAAGAAACACCAGUGCUACACAGGAGCCCGCUAAUGAUGGGGAGCAAAGAACAGUGACGCUUCCCAUUGCUUCAGCACCCCAGUGACAGAACUUUCCUUCUACAACUGUUGGGAGGGAAAAUGCUAUUCUGGUAUUAAUGCUGUCAGAUUAUCUCAGCAUAGUUCAGGGUAGGUAUUUUCAGGACAGCAGACCAAACGGGUCAUUUGGCUAUACUUUCUAUGGCAGAUCAAAGCUUCAUCACUCUCCUUGUUCAGUAUCUUCUGGUUACUCUUAAAAUGUGAAGCUCGUUUGUUCCAGUAGCUGACAAAGGAGCCUGGCUUCUUGGCCCAUAAACUUCCACCUCUGUGCUGAACUCCUCAGCAGGUUCCCAGAAGGCAUGUACCACAGCUGGUUGAACCUGCAUGACCAACUGAACUCUUCAGAGUAAAUUCCUUUCUCCUUUUGCUGGCUACAUAUUUCUCUGAGCUCAUUUCUUUGCUUACCCUGUCAUCAUCUGGAGUUUGCCUUCAAGAUAAUACCAUCAGUUAAUGUUUGCAUAAUGUUUGAAAAGUCUGAAGUACCAAUUCAGAAAAUUCAUUGCAUUUUUUCUUUGUGUUCCUCCUGACACUCUUUCCCAAUCCAGGCAUGCCAGUUUCCCUCUGAAGCCUGUUGUCUUGCGUCCCAACAACUGGUACCUGUUCUCAGCUUCAUCC
ensembl:lncRNA